GACAAAAGAGCUCGACUUCCGUCAGCUAGUUUGCUAAACAUCGCAAAAUACAGGACCUGUACACCAACAACUUGUGAGCGGUGUGAAGGAUAUCGGAAACGAAUUCGUGGUGUUGGUGCGACGGAGUUAAGAAACCGUUUCUGACAACUGACAACAUCACCUCAGCAUGAACUUGCAGACUAUCGGCAAAAGAUGGCACCGCUCAUAUCAUUGGAGCUUGUCCCUUUAGGGGUUGCCACACAUCCUUUUCCCUGUAAGCCUAUCUCCUGCAUCCUCAUCUCGAACACCAACUGCCCUCAUCAGAAUCAGAAUCAGAAUCAUCUUUAUUUGCCAAGGUUGUCCAAAAAACACACAAGGAAUUUGUCUCCGGUAAUUGGAGCCGCUCUAGUACGACAACGGACAGUCAAUUGACAGAGAACACUUUUGAGACAUAAAGACAUUGAGAAAAACAGUCACUGAGCAAUAAAGGGUUGCUAGUUAUCUGGUAA